rnacentral:rRNA from 1 species
AUGGCCGGAGGAGGCGAUGAGCUGAAGCUACUCGGCACGUUCGCGAGCCCGUUCGUCAUGCGAGCGAAGCUGGCGCUCAGCUUCAAGGGCCUGAGCUUCGAGGACGUCGAGGAAGACCUGGCCAACAAGAGCCAGCUCCUCCUCGAGUCCAACCCGGCGGAGAAGAAGGUGCCCGUGCUCAUCCACAACGGCAAGCCCGUCUGCGACUCGCGUGUCAUCGUGCAGUACAUCGACGAGGCCUUCAGCGGCAACGGCGCGCCUCUCCUCCCCGCCGACCCCUACGAGCGCGCCGUCGCUCGCUUUUGGGCCGCCUACGUCGACGACAAGCUCUUGGCGUCUUGGCUGCAGGCCGCGAGGGGCAAGACGGAGGAGGAGAAGGCGGAGGGGCUGAAGCAGACGCUCGUGGCGGUGGAGACCAUGGAGGCGGCCUUCAAGACGUGCUCCAAGGGGAAGCCUUUCUUCGGCGGCGACAGGGUUGGGUACCUGGACGUGACGCUCGGCGGUCUGGUCGUCUGGGUGCACGCCGGCGCGGCGCUGUAUGGCAUGCGGCUUUUCGACGACGCCAAGAGCCCUUUCCUGGCGGCCUGGGUGGAGCGCUUCGGCGCGCUGGACGCCGCCAAGGCUGUCCUGCCGGCCGUCGAAAGAGUGGUCGAGUUCGCCAAGAUGAGACAGGCGCAGGCUGCGGCACCGGCCACGGCAGGAGGCAACUAA